GCGCCGUAGCUCAGCUGGUAGAGCGCUGCCCUCCGGAGGCAGAAGGUCUCAGGUUCGAAUCCUGUCGGGCGUACCA
rnacentral:tRNA from 1 species